GAUGAACGCUGGCGGCGUGCUUAAUACAUGCAAGUCGAGCGAAGCACUUUAACGGAAUUCUCCGGAAGGAAGGUAAAGUGACUGAGCGGCGUACGGCGUAGAGUACGACUUGGGUACCUGCCUAUACGAGGGGACUACAGUUAGAAAUGGCUGCUAAUACCGCAGUAACGCGCACGAGGCCGUCAUAGGCCCGGUUGUGAAAAACUCCGGUGGUAUAAGAUGGACCCGCGUCUGACUUAGCUGGUUGGUGGGGUAACGGGCCCACCCAAGGCGACGAUCAGUAGGCCGGCCUGAGAGGGUCGAACGGCCUACGAUUGGGACUGAGACAACGGCCCAGG
rnacentral:rRNA from 1 species